UACGUAGGCAGCAAGCGUUGUUCGGAGUUACUGGGCGUAAAGCGUGCGUAGGUGGUGAGUUAAGUCUGUCGUGAAAGCCCCGGGCUCAACCUGGGAAUGGCGAUGGAUACUGGCUCGCUAGAGUGCGGUAGAGGAGAGUGGAAUUCCCGGUGUAGCAGUGAAAUGCGUAGAGAUGUGGAGGAACACCGAUGGCGAAGGGCAGCCCCCCUGGGCUGAGAUUGACGCUCAGGCACGAAAGCGUGGGGAGCAAACAGG
rnacentral:rRNA from 1 species